rnacentral:misc_RNA from 1 species
UUGUCUAACUACUUGUUUAACGUUUUGUUUAUUGUCUAUUUUCAUAAACAAGAGUUGAUAGACAUUGAUUAUCAACCUAUUUUAAGCUAUUAUUAAAAUUUGAAUGGUUUAUGAUGAAGGUAGUUAGAUACCGUUCUUGAAUUGUAGACUUGUAGUAAACUACAACAUCUUUGUAACAAUAGGAGGAACAUGACUUAAAUUAAAACAGGAUACAAUUCCCACUUAGUUUCUGAGAAUUAUAGUACAUAGAUACUUUUCUGAGAAUUAUAGUACAUAGAUACU